rnacentral:rRNA from 1 species
AGCAGUCGCCGCGGUAAUACGAAGGGUGCAAGCGUUAAUCGGAAUUACUGGGCGUAAAGCGCGCGUAGGUGGUUUGGUAAGAUGGAUGUGAAAUCCCCGGGCUCAACCUGGGAACUGCAUCCAUAACUGCCUGACUAGAGUACGGUAGAGGGUGGUGGAAUUUCCUGUGUAGCGGUGAAAUGCGUAGAUAUAGGAAGGAACACCAGUGGCGAAGGCGACCACCUGGACUGAUACUGACACUGAGGUGCGAAAGCGUGGGGAGCAAACAGGAUUAGAUACCCCAGUAGUCCCUGUCUCUUAUAC